rnacentral:rRNA from 1 species
CGAAAGCCUGACGGAGCAAUACCGCGUGAGGGAGGAAGGCCCUUGGGUCGUAAACCUCUUUUAUUAGGGAAGAAGAUCUGACGGUACCUAAUGAAUAAGCAUCGGCUAACUCCGUGCCAGCAGCCGCGGUAAUACGGAGGAUGCGAGCGUUAUCCGGAAUUAUUGGGCGUAAAGCGUCCGUAGGUGGUUUUGCAAGUCUGCCGUUAAAGAAUGGAGCUUAACUCCAUAGGAGCGGUGGAAACUGCAAGACUAGAGUACAGUAGGGGUAGCAGGAAUUCCCAGUGUAGCGGUGAAAUGCGUAGAUAUUGGGAAGAACAUCGGUGGCGAAAGCGUGCUACUGGGCUUGUACUGACACUGAGGGACGAAAGCUAGGGUAGCG